GGGCAUAUAGCUCAGUGGUAGAGCACAUGCUUAGCAUGCACAAGGUCCUGGGUUCAAUUCCAAGUGCCUCCA
rnacentral:tRNA from 1 species